CCAUAGCAAACUUGCCUCUGGGCUCACAUCAGAUUAGCACUGGGAACAUAAGGGAGAUAAUAAAUGUUUUCUUUCUCAUGGAGAGGCCUCAAGCAAUGGAUACAUGAGAAACAAGGGAGACUAACAAAUGUCUGCACACCUACACUGGACAGAAACAACUAAAGCAAUCCUAUUGGAUUAUCGAUUGGACUAAAUUGUGGACCCUUCAGUCAAAGUGAUAAGGUCAUUGCUGUGUUUUUUUUUCUUUCUUUUUCUUUACAUUGUAGCGGGGCUAAUGUUCAAUGAUUGGGUGCAGUUUGUGUUUACAUAAUCAAAUUUCAUUGGUUUGUGUAGACACGCUCAACUGGUCAUCAGUACAAAGCUACGGCGUGCUGUACUAAACACUUUAAUAGCAAAAAAAAAUAAAAUAAAAAACACAGAUACCAUCCAUUAUAUAUCUAUAUUAAAUAAGCUAUUACAUCUAGUCUACGACCACGUUUCAAGAGAAAAAAAAGGAAUUAUCUACUAGAUAUCCACAAAAGUCAUUUUGUUUGUUCUGUUUUGAUUGGGUUUGUUUUUUUGUAUCACAAGUGAAAUGAGCUUCUUCCCAAUGAGAACAGACUAAGGGAUGAAACACUAUCGGCUCUUACAACAAUGAGGCCUUAAGAAGUUUUCUUUAUCUGACCAAGAAACGGGGGGUAAAAGUGGGAAAAUGUCACUUUCUAAAUAGGGGAACUAUAUGCAUGUCAGAACGCGCGGUGGGUGAGUGUUAAGCGCUUGGCGUCCGCUCUUUGGGGGGGGGGGAGUGUCCUUUACAUCAUCUGCCCUAUAGACCGCAUGGUCUAAAAGAGAACUUUAUUUUUUACUUUUAAAUGCAGCGACCGUGAAAAGGUUUUAAGUAAUAAAAAAAAGUAAAUGUAAACACAGGAACUAAACAAAAAAAAGAGUAUUGAAUGGUGAAUGUAAAUAUCAAGUAUGGUCCAAGCAUGAACGUGGUCAAUCUAUUCCUGUGUUCUUGAUAAUAAAAAGAACAGUUAAGACAUUUUCCCUUUUCAUAUUUUGUUCCUCUUCAAUCGUUUCGGGACGGCUGCCGAUGAAGUCCUACUGACACCUUACGAAAUCUGCAGCAUGAAUGUGUCGCAGAGGAGAAAUGGUUGGAAACGAAACACGUUUUCUCUAUCAAAUACCACUUAUUAGCAAUCACAUUAACAAUUGAAAUGGUGACAGGAAAUGUGACAAACAAUUUCUUUUCAUGAACAAAACAGGCGACAAUAACACCACAUUUAUUCCAUUCCUCUGUUGUCAGCUGGCGGAUGGGUUUGAGUCCACCACCAAAACAUGAAAACUAAAAAAAAAAAAGUUUACAGGGGAAACAGAGACAGCACCACAAGAUCCUCACACUGUACGUGUUGGUUGUCAAACCAAUGACUUAUGGGCAAAUGUAGACAUACACUAGACAUGAACCAAGUGUAAAGAAAAUACACAGCUAGUGACUACAUGUACAAGAGAGAAAGAGCUACAAUACAGGAAGGGAAAUAAUACCACCAUACGUUUAGAACGACACAAAAGUCAGGAAGUGUUCUAAGGAAUGUCUGUAAAAAUGUACUAGGAUAGAAAACGAAAAAUUGUUUUCAGCCCUGACUCCGAUGCUUACGCCACGAGAACCACUGGAGAGCAGAGCCAGUUUUGUCGAGCCAGACAGACUUGGACUGGAACUAAUGGGAUUUCCCUAAUGAGAAGAAACAGUUCUUAUCGCGUACAACUUGUUUUGCUGGCUAAGCAGAAGAGAAAAUGUUGCGCCUGUGAUACGUUUGACACAGUGUCCAAGAAUGAAACGUGAACUUAGUCAAGCCACUCACAGAUGCACCGCUUGAUAACUUGACUUUACUUGGGGAAGGGGGGGGGGCGA
rnacentral:sRNA from 13 species